UUUCACGGUGUCAAGUUCCUCAGUCGGUAGUAAGCGACGACAGAAGUCUCCGUCUACACGUGGAGGUUAUGAACUCGCCGGCGGCGUACAUCAAGUGAACCCGACACACCUCCACGAACCAGCGCAGAGUCCAGCUCAUACACGACUGAACAAACAGAGGGAAUGGGAUGGAUGGAGAAAGAGAACAUUAUAUUCUAACCUGUUGACAUAAUGGGGCUGUAAAAUGUGCAUGAUUGCCGUCUCCCUCCUCUCGCAAAGCUGUCAGCAAUCUAUCUGCGGUAACAGGGACUCUGAGCUGGUUAAGCUCCUGCUCUUGGUGUUCCAUUCACCUUGAUUCCAUCCAGCGUCCAAUCACAGGAGACUGAGGCGGACCCGACCUAC